AACGAACGCUGGCGGCAUGCCUAACACAUGCAAGUCGAGCGAGACCUUCGGGUCUAGUGGCGCACGGGUGCGUAACGCGUGGGAACCUGCCCUUAGGUUCGGAAUAACUCCCCGAAAGGGGUGCUAAUACCGGAUAAUGUCUUCGGACCAAAGAUUUAUCGCCUUUGGAUGGGCCCGCGUUGGAUUAGCUAGUUGGUAGGGUAAAAGCCUACCAAGGCGACGAUCCAUAGCUGGUUUGAGAGGAUGAUCAGCCACACUGGGACUGAGACACGGCCCAGACUCCUACGGGAGGGAGCAGUGGGGAAUAUUGGACAAUGGGCGAAAGCCUGAUCGAGCAAUGCCGCGUGAGUGAUGAAGGCCUUAGGGUUGUAAAGCUCUUUUACCCGGGAUGAUAAUGACAGUACCGGGAGAAUAAGCUCCGGCUAACUCCGUG
rnacentral:rRNA from 1 species